AAUUACAGCUAAUACAUGCACAAAGACCUGGUCCAAGGGUCGUAAUUAUUAGUACUAAACCCAAUCCGCAAGGAAUGUGAUGAAUCAUAGUAAUCGAACGAAUCGCAGGUACAUGCGAUAAAUCAUUCAAGUUUCUGCCCUAUCAGCUUUGGAUGGUAGUGUAUUGGACUACCAUGGCAGUCACGGGUAACGGAGAAUUAGGGUUCGAUUCCGGAGAGGGAGCCUGAGAAACGGCUACCACAUCUACGGAAGGCAGCAGGCGCGAAAAUUGCCCAAUCCUGACACAGGGAGGCAGUGACAAGAAAUAACAACUCUAGGUUUUCUUAGAAGUGUAAUGAGGAUAAUUUACAAACCUUACCGAAUGCAAUUGGAGGGCAAGUCUGGUAAUCGAAUUCC
rnacentral:rRNA from 1 species